GAGCGGGAGUGAAAACUGGCAGUGACAUAUGCCAUGCCACUGGGUGCCAGGACUGACUUCCCUAACCUGGUUGGCUCAGGAGCUGUUCCCUUCCUUUCUCCCUUGAAUUUAUACCCGUCCCUCCGAAAGCAGGAUGCUCCAUUCAGUAAGUUCACUUCCCUUGCUAGAGAAAAUUAUUCUUAGGGUGAGUUGCUGAAAAUCUAGUCUUCUUUUCCUUGAAUUCCAGCACCAGUUUUGACUCAGCAGGUGAUCCUUCUAUAGUCUCUUCCCAUAUACUCUGGAGACAGUCCAGCCACAAAGCAUUAUCGCAUACUCAGCCAUUAAGA
rnacentral:sRNA from 1 species